CUGGCUCAGGAUGAACGCUGGCGGCGUGCCUAACACAUGCAAGUCGAGCGAUUCUCUUCGGAGAAGAGCGGCGGACGGGUGAGUAACGCGUGGGUAACCUGCCCUGUACACACGGAUAACAUACCGAAAGGUAUGCUAAUA
rnacentral:rRNA from 1 species